rnacentral:rRNA from 1 species
UACGGGGGGUGCAAGCGUUGUUCGGAAUCAUUGGGCGUAAAGGGCGUGUAGGCGGCUUGGUAAGUCAGAUGUGAAAGCCCUGGGCUUAACCCAGGAAGUGCAUUUGAAACUGCCAGGCUUGAGUAGGGAAGAGGAAGGUGGAAUUCCUGGUGUAGAGGUGAAAUUCGUAGAUAUCAGGAGGAACACCGGUGGCGAAGGCGACCUUCUGGUCCUAUACUGACGCUGAGACGCGAAAGCGUGGGUAGCAAAC